CAGGGUAGGCAGGCAGUCAGCCUGAGCCCUGCUGUGCUGCCGGCCAGGAGCCGCCUGUGGUGAAGAACUGAGGUACAAAGAGAUUUAAGGCUCCUCUACAUGGAGCAGCAAUGCACACUAGACAGCCUGGACACUGAAGUCUACUCAUCCUCCACAAGACAAAUACAGCACGGAUAGCAGCAGCGCAAGCUUCCUCGUGCCACUCCUUUGGAGUCCCUUAGCCCUAGUCCAGCAGGGUAAUCUUUUCAGGCACCACUUUUAUUCAGUCCUUGGCCUCUCUUUUGAGACUGCCAACAAGGUGGCCAAACAGUGGCCAUUUUGGUGGAGCGCUGUGUGAUGUGAACACAUACGUAUGGCUGAGAAAAAUGGGAUUAGCAAGUCAACUCAUUUCACACAGGACACUGGUGAGAGGGACUCUCCACCGGUCAGUACUGAAGACCCAAAUCAGCAACCCAGCAGUGGAAGGCUCCUUAACUUAUUACAGUCCCUUGAGUCACCUUGUCUCUCCAGAAAUAGAAGCCAUUUCAAUGUGACGCUCUGUAUCCCAGGGGACCACCCAGCACCCCCAUGUUCAUCCUUGCAAAAUGAUUGUGUAGUAUCCAAUGCAAAGUUUGUCACGUUGGGUGUCUUCGGAAGGCUCAUGAUGCACUGAGCAUCGUUGUUAGUUAUACUAACGUUAUAGGAUGUAAGUUCAUGUAUAUAGUUAUGAGUCUGAAAACGUGUCCUCAUGUUUUAAACAAGCCCAGGCAAAAACCUUCCAAGAGCAGAGAGGCAAUUCACAACUUGUCAGGGAAUGUAUGGGACAACCCCAGCCCAGCCUCACAGGAACAAAGGACACUGGCCUAGGCAGCAACAAAGGAUCUGUUGGACUGAGUGAGUCACCCCCCUCCCCCACGUUCCUUUAGUCAGUUUGUGACUACAAUGAGGUAAUGCUCACCUGACUCUAAAAGGGUUGGGGGGCAAAGCCAAGAGGGAAGAAAGAACAUGAGAAAAGGGAGAGAUGUUUGCCAUGCUCUUCCCCUCUCUUCCAUCUACAUCUACAGCCACCACACCAAGUGACUGAAGCGCUGAGCCAAGUGGAGAGCCUGGCUGAAGGGCAGCCAGCUUAUGGUGAGAAGCAUCUAAGUUUGU